rnacentral:rRNA from 1 species
UACGUAGGGUGCAGGCGUUAAUCGGAAUUACUGGGCGUAAAGCGUGCGCAGGCGGUCUAUUAAGACAGGUGUGAAAUCCCCGGGCUUAACCUGGGAACUGCGCUUGUAACUGAUAGGCUUGAGUGUGGCAGAGGGGGGUGGAACUCCGAGUGUAGAGGUGAAAUUCGUAGAUAUUCGGAAGAACACCAGUGGCGAAGGCGGCUCACUGGCCCGGUACUGACGCUGAGAUACGAAAGCGUGGGGAGCAAACAGG